CGACAACUGACGUAGCAAGAGGUCUCGAUUAUUUGGCCAGUCCUGAAUGAAGUCCAAAACCCUGUGUACAUCCCAGAGGGAUGCAUAUUUAGGUGCCGGCAAGCGCGACAAUCUGAUGCCUCUGAGGAGUCUACAUACCAAUGGAUCCUGGCCAAUAGUAGCUCCUUGAAGGGGUACAUAAGCCGGUGAAAUGGCAGACCUGGCAACAUUAACAGAAU